rnacentral:rRNA from 1 species
UACGGAGGAUGCAAGCGUUAUCCGGAUUUAUUGGGUUUAAAGGGUGCGCAGGUUGUUUGAUAAGUCAGUGGUGAAAGUCUGUCGCUUAACGGUAGGAUUGCCAUUGAUACUGUUAGACUUGAAUAUGGAUGAGGUAGGCGGAAUGUGUAGUGUAGCGGUGAAAAUGCAUAGAUAUUACACAGAACACCGAUUGCGAAGGCAGCUUACUAAUCCAUCAUUGACGCUGAGGCACGAAAGCGUGGGGAUCAAACAGGGAUUA